rnacentral:rRNA from 1 species
UCGCCCUUAGAGUUUGAUCCUGGCUCAAGACGAACGCUGGCGGCGCGCCUAACACAUGCAAGUCGAACGGAGCUUAGAGAGCUUGCUUUUUAAGCUUAGUGGCGAACGGGUGAGUAACGCGUGAGUAACCUGCCCUAGAGUGGGGGACAACAGUUGGAAACGACUGCUAAUACCGCAUAAGCCCACGGUGCCGCAUGACACUGAGGGAAAAGGAUUUAUUCGCUUUAGGAUGGACUCGCGUCCAAUUAGCUAGUUGGUGAGGUAACGGCCCACCAAGGCGACGAUUGGUAGCCGGACUGAGAGGUUGAACGGCCACAUUGGGACUGAGACACGGCCCAGACUCCUACGGGAGGCAGCAGUGGGGGAUAUUGCACAAUGGGGGAAACCCUGAUGCAGCGACGCCGCGUGGAGGAAGAAGGUUUUCGGAUUGUAAACUCCUGUCGUUAGGGACGAUAAUGACGGUACCUAACAAGAAAGCACCGGCUAACUACGUGCCAGCAGCCGCGGUAAAACGUAGGGUGCAAGCGUUGUCCGGAAUUACUGGGUGUAAAGGGAGCGCAGGCGGGAAGACAAGUUGGAAGUGAAAACCAUGGGCUCAACCCAUGAAUUGCUUUCAAAACUGUUUUUCUUGAGUAGUGCAGAGGUAGAUGGAAUUCCCGGUGUAGCGGUGGAAUGCGUAGAUAUCGGGAGGAACACCAGUGGCGAAGGCGGUCUACUGGGCACCAACUGACGCUGAGGCUCGAAAGCAUGGGUAGCAAACAGGAUUAGAUACCCUGGUAGUCCAUGCCGUAA